CCUACGGGAGGCAGCAGUGAGGAAUAUUGGUCAAUGGACGAGAGUCUGAACCAGCCAAGUAGCGUGAAGGAUGACUGCCCUAUGGGUUGUAAACUUCUUUUAUAUGGGAAUAAAAUGCUCGACGCGUGGGAUUUUGUAUGUACCAUAUGAAUAAGGAUCGGCUAACUCCGUGCCAGCAGCCGCGGUAAUACGGAGGAUCCGAGCGUUAUCCGGAUUUAUUGGGUUUAAAGGGAGCGUAGGUGGAUUGUUAAGUCAGUUGUGAAAGUUUGCGGCUCAACCGUAAAAUUGCAGUUGAAACUGGCAGUCGUGAGUACAGUAGAGGCGGGCGGAAUUCGUGGUGUAGCGGUGAAAUGCUUAGAUAUCACGAAGAACUCCGAUUGCGAAGGCAGCUCGCUGGGCUGCAACUGACACUGAGGCUCGAAAGUGUGGGUAUCAAACAGGAUUAGAUACCCUAGUAGUC
rnacentral:rRNA from 1 species